AAAUUAAUAUUUCUUUAAUAGAAACUUGUUAAUGGUUAUUAAGUGCUUAGGAGACUAAUUCUCAUAAUCAUAAAUUAAUUAAAUAAGUAGAAACCAGAAAUCCAUUGAAAACCAAUUAGUUUUAGGUCUGUGAGUGCUAUUUACAUUACAGAAAACAAAGUUUAUGCUUCUAAAUAAUUUAGGCAAUUGAAUAUUUUUAUAUUAUUUCAUUGCUAAAAAGCAGACACAAAUUUUUCUGGUAUCACUUAGUGAAUAUGUGAUAAAUAUUUAUGGGUCAUUUUAUUUAAACACUUUAUAUGCAUUAAACAACCAUUCUACUCUGUAAAUUUUAGGUCCAACAGGCAUAAACAAUUGAGGAAAUUCUGUGUUUUAGUUGAAGAUACUUCAUCUUAAGAAGGCUCUGAUUAUAUUGAGACCUCCAAGGCUCAAAAGCCUUACACAUGUUUCCUAAAAAGGGCAUGAUUAAUGGUGUUUUAUGCUGUUCAUCACUAGAAGUAAUCCUUUUAACAAGAAACUCUUUCCUAGACCUAGAAGAUCAGAUGUGAUUCAGUAAGGUGAGUAUUGAUUAAAUAAUGUACCCAUCCACCUGGGAAUGAAGUUCAGAGAGUUUGUAGGAAAAAUUAGCCUAAAUUAUCACUGAAUAAAAAAUAAAUAUUAUUUAUUAAUACA
rnacentral:lncRNA from 1 species